rnacentral:rRNA from 1 species
UACGUAGGGGGCAAGCGUUGUCCGGAAUCAUUGGGCGUAAAGCGAGCGUAGGCGGCCCGAUAAGUCUGCUGUAAAAGUCAACGGCUCAACCGUUGAAAGCCGGUGGAUACUGUCGGGCUAGAGUUCGGAAGAGGCAAGUGGAAUUCCAGGUGUAGCGGUGAAAUGCGUAGAUAUCUGGAGGAACACCGGUGGCGAAGGCGGCAUCCUGGACCGGCAUUGACGCUGAGGCGCGAAAGCCAGGGGAGCAAAC